rnacentral:rRNA from 1 species
AACCGGAUUAGAUACCCUGGUAGUCACCGCCGUAAAACGAUGUCGACUUGGAGGUUGUUUCCUGAGGAGUGGCUUCCGGAGCUAACGCGUUAAGUCGACCGCCUGGGGAGUACGGCCGCAAGGUUAAAACUCAAAUGAAUUGACGGGGGCCCGCACAAGCGGUGGAGCAUGUGGUUUAAUUCGAUGCAACGCGAAGAACCUUACCUACUCUUGACAUCCAGCGAACUUUCCAGAGAUGGAUUGGUGCCUUCGGGAACGCUGAGACAGGUGCUGCAUGGCUGUCGUCAGCUCGUGUUGUGAAAUGUUGGGUUAAGUCCCGCAACGAGCGCAACCCUUAUCCUUUGUUGCCAGCGAUUCGGUCGGGAACUCAAAGGAGACUGCCGGUGAUAAACCGGAGGAAGGUGGGGAUGACGUCAAGUCAUCAUGGCCCUUACGAGUAGGGCUACACACGUGCUACAAUGGCGCAUACAAAGAGAAGCGACCUCGCGAGAGCAAGCGGACCUCACAAAGUGCGUCGUAGUCCGGAUCGGAGUCUGCAACUCGACUCCGUGAAUUUUU